UUGGAGGGCAAGUCUGGUGCCAGCAGCCGCGGUAAUUCCAGCUCCAAUAGCGUAUAUUAAAGUUGUUGCAGUUAAAAAGCUCGUAGUUGAACUUCGGGGUCUACCCAUUGGUCAGGCUUAAUUGUCUGCACUGGUGAGAUGGAUCUCUACCUUCUGAGGAACUUUCAUGCCAUUUAUUUGGUGUGAUGGGAAAUCAGGACUGUUACUUUGAAAAAAUUAGAGUGUUUAAAGCAGACUAUCGUCUGAAUACAUUAGCAUGGAAUAAUGAAAUAGGACGGACUGAUUCUAUUUCGUUGGUUUCUAGGAUCACCGUAAUGAUUAAUAGGGAUAGUUGGGGGCAUUAGUAUUCAAUUGUCAGAGGUGAAAUUCUUGGAUUUAUUGAAGACCAACUACUGCGAAAGCAUUUGCCAAGGAUGUUUUCAUUAAUCAAGAACGAAAGUUAGGGGAUCGAAGACGAUCAGAUACCGUCGUAGUCUUAACCAUAAACUAUGCCGACUAGGGAUCGGACGAAGUUAAUUUUAUAAUGACGCGUUCGGCGCCUUACGGGAAAC
rnacentral:rRNA from 1 species